rnacentral:rRNA from 1 species
GACGAACGCUGGCAGCGUGCCUAAUACAUGCAAGUCGAGCGGACCACUUCGGUGGUCAGCGGCGGACGGGUGAGUAACACGUGGGCAACCUGCCUGUAAGACUGGGAUAACACCGGGAAACCGGUGCUAAUACCGGAUAAUCCUUUCCUUCACAUGAGGGAAAGCUGAAAGACGGUUUCGGCUGUCACUUACAGAUGGGCCCGCGGCGCAUUAGCUAGUUGGUGAGGUAACGGCUCACCAAGGCAACGAUGCGUAGCCGACCUGAGAGGGUGAUCGGCCACACUGGGACUGAGACACGGCCCAGACUCCUACGGGAGGCAGCAGUAGGGAAUCUUCCGCAAUGGACGAAAGUCUGACGGAGCAACGCCGCGUGAGCGAUGAAGGCCUUCGGGUCGUAAAGCUCUGUUGUCGGGGAAGAACAAGUACCGGAGUAACUGCCGGUACCUUGACGGUACCUGACCAGAAAGCCACGACUAACUACGUGCCAGCCGCCGCUGUAAAAC